GCCCUUGUAGUUCAAUGGAUAGAACGGAAGUUUCCUAAACUUCAAAUCAGGGUUCGAUUCCCUGCGAGGGUACAA
rnacentral:tRNA from 1 species